GGAUCUGGGUGACUGUUACCCUAGACCUCAGCCUGGGUCUGGAUCUGGGUGGCUGUUACCCUAGACCUCAGCCUGGGUCUGGAUCUGGGUGACUGUUACCCUAGACCUCAUCCUGGGUCUGGAUGUGGGUGACUGUUACCCUAGACCUCAGCCUGGAUGAGUGACUGUUACCCUAGACCUCAGUCUGGGUCUGGGUGACUGUUACCAAGGUUGGAGGUACAGGCUCCCAGGUGAGGUGUGCAGGUGCAGGCUCCCAGGUGAGGUGUGGAGGUGCAGGCUCCCAGGUGAGGUGUGGAGGUUCAGGUGCAGGCUCCCAGGUGAGGGUUGGAGGUGCAGGCUCCCAGGUGAGGUGUGGAGGUGCAGUCUCCCAGGUGAGGUGUGGAGGUUCAGGCUCCCAGGUGAGGUGUGGAGGUGCAGGUGCAGGCUCCCAGG